CCCUGCCCUGGCACAUAGUCACAGUUAGGUAGAAGAGUUAUAAAAACUUUACUGUUCCUCUGUCUUUUAUGGGAUUUUGGGUAGAAAACUUACUGGUCCAGAGUGGGGACAAGUCCUAGCUGUCAGCCACUCGUUGACCGCUUCCUGUCGUCUCACAGGUCCCCGAGGCUACUGAUUUCCCCAGAAUCUACCAUUUGACGUCGAGGAGCGGCAGCCAGAAGAAGCGUGGAAGCGCGUUCUUCAGUGUCUCGAGCUGAGCACAGGGUGAACUCUCUCCUCCUUGCUGUGACACCUGGGCUGGCAGGGAUGACACAGUGACCUCGGCCGGCCGAUGCUGCCUGUGCCAUCACCUGGCACUGACGUGUUUGAUGAAAAUCCUUUUGCUGGGAUUUUUCUCCUGAGAAGCCUCAGAACAGAAAUGGAACCAAUAACAAUCUGCUGGCUGUGGAGUGUGGGCUGGACAUGGUUUAGCAACAGGGGCAUCUUGGAUUGGUCUCCUGUGCAUUGUUUCUACUUGAUGACCAAUCAUGGUCCAGCGGUGUCGGGGCUGUGAGCAGGUUUUUAUUAUUAUUCCUUUCCAGCUUUCUGAUGUCUCCUUGCUCUUUUAGUAUAGUUCUAAUAUCUCAUUUUCUUUUAAUAUAAUAGAGAUCAUACAAUAAUAUUUCAGCCUUCUGAAA